rnacentral:rRNA from 1 species
GGGUUGUGAGGUUAAGCGACUAAGCGUACACGGUGGAUGCCCUGGCAGUCAGAGGCGAUGAAGGACGUGCUAAUCUGCGAAAAGCGUCGGUAAGGUGAUAUGAACCGUUACAGCCGGCGAUGUCCGAAUGGGGAAACCCAGUGCAAUUCGUUGCACUAUCGUUAACUGAAUACAUAGGUUAACGAGGCGAACCGGGGGAACUGAAACAUCUA